GUCUUCGAUCUGUUGCGGGCAGAUGAAAUGGAUAUGGCUGUCGAACCCGCCCGCAGUCAGGAUGCGGCCUUCGCCCGCGAUGGCUUCGGUGCCCGGGCCGAUGAUGAUGUCGACGCCGGGCUGCGUGUCAGGGUUGCCGGCCUUGCCGAUCCUGGCGAUACGCCCAUCCUUCAGGCCGACAUCCGCUUUGUAGAUGCCCGAGUGGUCGAGGAUCAACGCAUUGGUGAUGACGGUGUCUACAGCACCCUCUGCGCGGGUGACCUGGGAUUGCCCCAUCCCGUCGCGGAU
rnacentral:sRNA from 1 species